UCACUGUUCAGACCUUUCAGAGCUCCUGAAACACAAGAAAAUGAUGUCCUUGUUUCUCCUGGUUGGGACGCUUCUCAUCAUCUUUGCCCAGGUCUCCAGUGGGCAGAUCACUAUGACUCAGACUCCUUCAGCGCUCUCUGCUCUCCCAGGAGAAAAAGUCACUAUCAACUGCAAAGCCAGCAGCUCAGUGAGCAGCUACCUAGCGUGGUACCUGCAGACACCUGGAGAAGCUCCUAAACUCCUGAUCUAUGCUGCAAGCACCCUUCAAUCUGGGAUCCCAGCUCGUUUCAGUGGCAGUGGAUCUGGGACUGACUUCACUCUGACCAUCAGCGGUGUCCAGGCUGAAGAUGCAGGAGAUUACUACUGUCAGCAGUAUAGCAGCUCCUCUCUCACUUUCGGACCGGGGACCAAGCUGGUUGUGAAAUCUGGAAGCCCCACUGCUCCUUCCUCCGUCUCCCUGCUUCCUCCCUCCAAGCUGGAGCUCGACUCAAAGAGCAAAGCCACCCUGGUCUGCCUGGUGAAUAAUUUCUACCCUGAAAUCGUGGAUAUCAAGUGGACGGUGGACGGGGCGGCCCAGUCGACUGGUGUGCUGACCAGCACAAUGAAGCAGAAGGAUGGGAAAUACAGCGCAAGCAGCAGCCUGACCCUCACCAAGGCCGUGUGGAACAGCAAGGAGAAGUACACCUGCACUGUGAAGCACGAGGCUGUGAGCACUCCCAUGAGCGAGUCCAUCAGCAGGAGCCAGUGCACACUAUUAGAUGCCUAAAGGGCAAGAGAAUCCCGCUGCUUGUAAUGUCCAGCUUUCUUUGGGUAUGAAUUAGGAGGGUCACUGUGAUGUCUUUGUGUAAGAGCAGCAGACAGUGUAAGAAUGGGAAAGGUUCAAUGUGCCCGACCCUUAUGGUUGACUUCCUUCUAUUCGCUGUUUAGUUAGUGCCUUGUCUAUUGUUGUUUUGCUUGUCAAUGUUAAUCUAAUGACAAUUGUAUGUUUCGUGUGUUUUGCUCUGAGUGUAGUAAUAAAACAUUUAAAAAAAAGUA